rnacentral:lncRNA from 1 species
ACUCACACUCACCAUAUAAUACAGAGAUGUGAUAAUAAGUGAGUGCCACACUGUUUCAUGUUCUCACAUUUCCUUUAAUAAUCUGUUAUUUGUCUCUGCAGGUUAACAGAAAUAUAUAAACAUUAUAGUGCAAUUAUUACAAUUAAACUAAUCAUAUCACAUUAGAAAUAAUAUACUUGACGCAAUCGUUUACUUUUUCCCUCCCUGAUUAAAAUCCUUGUAUAUGGCUGCGGUCUGUCCCAUGAAAGCCCAACGAUCAAACCGAGCAUUAAUUCAAUGUAUCGCCCACACAGGCAGUAACGUACUGCUCUCUGCAUUCCUUACACUGAAACAGAAUCUCCUUCUAAAUCACGUGUUCAUGCAAUGUGAUAUAUUAAUGCACGGCAAUUUCCUUUACUGAAAUCCGAAAAAAGUGAUAUUUUAUUCUCUACAGCUAGCUUUGACACCCACACGCCGCUGAACACAGAUACUAAAAAGGUAUCGCAACCUCUAAAAAAGGAGAAAAAAACGAAAAGGAAACCCCCUUUCCAUCGCUAGACUAACGUUUCUUUAUUAUUAUUAUUGCCAUUUAUAUAGCGCCAACAGAUUCCGUAGCGCUUUACAAUAUUAUUAGAGAGGGGAUUUAACUAUAAAUAGGACAAUUACAAGAAAACUUACAGGAAUAAUAGGUUGAAGAGGGCCCUGCUUAAACGAGCUUACAGUAUAUAGGAGGUGGGGUGUAAAACACAAUAGGACAGGAAUUCACAAUCAAAUAAGGUGGGAGUGAAGCAGAGCUGGAGGAGAGAGUAAAGUGUGGCCCUUUAGGAGAGAGCAAGAGACAGGUGUGUAAAGUAGAGGCUACUCUGGGAGGCCAUAAGCUUUCCUAAAGAGAUGGGUUUUAAGGCACUUCUUAAACAAGUGAAGACUAGGGGAGAGUGAUGGGGGUAGGCAGGCUAUUCCAUAGGAAGGGAGCUACCCGCGAGAAGUUCUGCAAACGCGAGUUGGCCAUACGGGUGCGAGCAGCGGACAGGAGAAGGUCACAGGCAGUGCGGAGAGAUCGAGAAGGGACAUACCUAUGGAUCUGUGAGGAGAUAUAAGAGGGGCUAGAAUUGUUCAGUGCUUUAUAGGUGUGAAUUAGUACCUUGAAUUGACUCCUAUAGGAUACAGGAAGCCAAUGUAAGGACUGGUAGAGGGGAGAGGUGUGAGAGAACCGACUAGAGAGGAAAAUCAGUCUGGCAGCAGCAUUCAUUACAGACUGUAGCUGUGCAGUACGGCUUUUGGGAAGACCAAUCAGGAGAGGGUUACAAUAAUCCAUGCGGGAAAUUACUAGAGCAUGGUCAAGCUUCUUGGUAGCAUCUUGUGUAAGAAAGGGGAGGAUGCAGGCUAUGUUUUUAAGAUGGAAUCUACAGGAUUUGGCAACAUACUGGAUGUGAGGCUUAACGCCUUAAGUACCAAACUUCGGGAAUAAAAGGGAAUCAUGACAUGUCACACGUCAUGUGUCCUUAAGAGGUUAAAGGUGAGGCCAGAAUCAAGUAUGACGCCAAGACGGCGCGCUUGCAAGGAUGGACUGAUGUGGAUACCACUAACUUGAAGGGAGCGCGAAAUAGGAGGAUCAGUGUUAGGAGGAGGAAAGAGAAGGAGCUCAGUUUUAGAGAGAUUGAGUUUCAGAAAGCGGUAGGACAUCCAGUCAGAGAUGGAAGAAAGGCAAGCAGUGACACGUUGCAGGACAGCAGGGGAGAGAUCCGAGGAGGAGAGAUAAAUCUGGGUGUCAUCAGUGUACAGGUGGUAGUGGAAUCCAAAUGAGGCAAUAAGUUUGCCAAGAGAGGCAGUAUAAAGAGAAAAUAGAAGGGGACCAAGGACAGAGCCUUGUGGGACUCCAGAGAGAGUACUUUAGGCUGCGGUCUAACAUUCUUUGAAAAAAGCUGCGUCUUGUGUUAUGAAAUACUGAUAACAUGUAUAUUGUAUAACAUUCACAAACAAUAUACAUUCGGAUUACAAAUACAUAAUUAAAGAAGGCCUCGUUAAUUCUGUGUUUCCUGAUUCAGCCACGCGGUCAUGCUAGCAUUCCAACGUGUCACAGUUUGUGUGGAGGGAUGUCUGAUAACAUAUUUUUCAAAGCUUUGGCAUUCUCUCCAUCUGGAGCUUCAGGCCACCUGUUGUGAUCUGUGAAGAGAAUAGUUCGUUUUUUUUUAUAUUUUG